rnacentral:sRNA from 1 species
CGGUGGCUGAAUCCAUGGUUGACAAGCCUGAUGGGAGAGAAAAAAGCCAAAUGAGUCACAUGUUUCGCAGGUCUAAAAGUGAUCUUUCUUUUUUGUAAGAAGGCAUCCCCUUGACUGGCGCAGUCAUCCUGCGAUGGCUACUGCAUUCAUGAAGAAAUAGUGACGGACAGACGUGCUGACACGACUAAUGAGAACUUCAGAAAUUACAGAAAGAGAGCUAGCGAGGAGUGUAGCCUUUAUUUGGCGUAUACAUAAAAUAAAUGUUCAACAAAAAAAAGGCCAAUAAAGACUGAAUAAAUAUACUUUGUAAAAUUAACAUA